rfam:Streptomyces variegatus strain NRRL B-16380 contig-25, whole genome shotgun sequence.
GCGGACGUAGCUCAGCUGGUAGAGCGCAACCUUGCCAAGGUUGAGGUCGCGAGUUCGAACCUCGUCGUCCGCU